AUUGAACGCUGGCGGCAGGCCUAACACAUGCAAGUCGAACGGUAACAGGAAGAAGCUUGCUUCUUUGCUGACGAGUGGCGGACGGGUGAGUAAUGUCUGGGAAAAUGCCUGAUGGAGGGGGAUAACUACUGGAAACGGUAGCUAAUACCGCAUAACGUCGCAAGACCAAAGAGGGGGACCUUCGGGCCUCUUGCCAUCGGAUGUGCCCAGAUGGGAUUAGCUAGUAGGUGGGGUAACGGCUCACCUAGGCGACGAUCCCUAGCUGGUCUGAGAGGAUGACCAGCCACACUGGAACUGAGACACGGUCCAGACUCCUACGGGAGGCAGCAGUGGGGAAUAUUGCACAAUGGGCGCAAGCCUGAUGCAGCCAUGCCGCGUGUAUGAAGAAGGCCUUCGGGUUGUAAAGUACUUUCAGCGGGGAGGAAGGGAGUAAAGUUAAUACCUUUGCUCAUUGACGUUACCCGCAGAAGAAGCACCGGCUAACUCCGUG
rnacentral:rRNA from 1 species